CCAAUAGCGUAUAUUAAAGUUGUUGCAGUUAAAAAGCUCGUAGUUGAAUUUCGGGAUCAAUAUGUCGGUCGUGCCUCGGUACGUACUGGCGUCAUUGGUUUCUUCUUUCUGAUGAACCAUGAUGCCAUUAAUUUGGUGUUAUGGGGAAUCAGGACUGUUACUUUGAAAAAAUUAGAGUGUUUAAAGCAGGCUCACGCUUGAAUACAUUAGCUGGGAAUAAUGAAAUAGGACGUUUGAUUCUAUUUUGUUGGUUUCUAGGAUCGACGUAAUGAUUAAUAGGGAUAGUUGGGGGCAUUAGUAUUCAAUUGUCAGAGGUGAAAUUCUUGGAUUUAUUGAAGACUAACUACUGCGAAAGCAUUUGCCAAGGAUGUUUUCAUUAAUCAAGAACGAAAGUUAGGGGAUCGAAGACGAUCAGAUACCGUCGUAGUCUUAACCAUAAACUAUGCCGACUAGGAAUCGGAUGAUGUUAAUUUUUUAAUGACCCAUUCGGCGCCUUACG
rnacentral:rRNA from 1 species